AAUGAACGCUGGCGGCGUGCCUAACACAUGCAAGUCGCACGAGAAAGGGGGCUUCGGUUCCCGAGUAAAGUGGCGCACGGGUGAGUAACGCGUGGGUGACCUACCCUGGAAUCUGGGAUAACACUGCGAAAGUGGUGCUAAUACCGGAUACGAUCCUCCAGCGAUGGAGGGUGAAAGUCGGCCUCUCGAAGAAGCUGAUGUUCCGGGAUGGGCUCGCGUCCUAUCAGCUAGUUGGUAGGGUAACGGCCUACCAAGGCGACGACGGGUAGCUGGUCUGAGAGGAUGAUCAGCCACACUGGCACUGAAACACGGGCCAGACUCCUACGGGUGGCAG
rnacentral:rRNA from 1 species